rnacentral:rRNA from 1 species
UACGGGGGGUGCAAGCGUUGUUCGGAUUUACUGGGCGUAAAGGGCUCGUAGGCGGUCAAUUACGUCAGACGUGAAAUCCCUCGGCUUAACCGGGGAACUGCGUCUGAUACUGGAUGGCUUGAGUGUGGGAGAGGAAUGCGGAAUUCCAGGUGUAGCGGUGAAAUGCGUAGAUAUCUGGAGGAACACCGAUGGCGAAGGCGGCAUUCUGGACCAUUACUGACGCUGAGGAGCGAAAGCCAGGGGAGCAAACGGG